CGGAGACGAGGUGUAUUUUAUGAUUGUACUUCAUUAAUAAAUAUUUCUGGUUGAGGAUCAUCUUGUGCUUGCAUUUGUAGGUCUAGAACUUCUUCAAGUUUAAUUUUCUUUCCAUUGCCUCUUUUUAGGAUAAACUCUUUUUCCAUAAAAGUGGCAUGUUUACUAACAGAAAUCUUUUAUUCAAUAGGGUGGUAAAAGAGGUAUUCUAUACUCUCUUUAAAAUAACUUACAAAUAAGUAUUUAUCUGCCCUAGCACUCAGCUU
rnacentral:lncRNA from 1 species